CAGCGCCACGAGUGGUGAUCAUUAUUAUUGGGCUUAAAGCGUCCGUAGCCGGUUUAGAAAGUCUUUUGUGAAAUCGUCCAGCUCAACUGGACGACGUGCAGGAGAAACUCUUAAACUUGGAAUCGGGAGGGGUCAGGAGUAUUCUUGGGGCAGCGGUAAAAUGUUAUAAUCCCAAGAAGACUACCGGUGGCGAAGGCGCCUGACCAGAACGAAUUCGACGGUGAGGGACGAAGGCCAGGGGAGCGAACCGGAUUAGAUACCCGAGUAGUCC
rnacentral:rRNA from 1 species